rnacentral:rRNA from 2 species
UGCAGUCGAGCGAACUGAUUAGAAGCUUGCUUCUAUGACGUUAGCGGCGGACGGGUGAGUAACACGUGGGCAACCUGCCUGUAAGACUGGGAUAACUUCGGGAAACCGAAGCUAAUACCGGAUAGGAUCUUCUCCUUCAUGGGAGAUGAUUGAAAGAUGGUUUCGGCUAUCACUUACAGAUGGGCCCGCGGUGCAUUAGCUAGUUGGUGAGGUAACGGCUCACCAAGGCAACGAUGCAUAGCCGACCUGAGAGGGUGAUCGGCCACACUGGGACUGAGACACGGCCCAGACUCCUACGGGAGGCAGCAGUAGGGAAUCUUCCGCAAUGGACGAAAGUCUGACGGAGCAACGCCGCGUGAGUGAUGAAGGCUUUCGGGUCGUAAAACUCUGUUGUUAGGGAAGAACAAGUACGAGAGUAACUGCUCGUACCUUGACGGUACCUAACCAGAAAGCCACGGCUAACUACGUGCCAGCAGCCGCGGUAAUACGUAGGUGGCAAGCGUUAUCCGGAAUUAUUGGGCGUAAAGCGCGCGCAGGCGGUUUCUUAAGUCUGAUGUGAAAGCCCACGGCUCAACCGUGGAGGGUCAUUGGAAACUGGGGAACUUGAGUGCAGAAGAGAAAAGCGGAAUUCCACGUGUAGCGGUGAAAUGCGUAGAGAUGUGGAGGAACACCAGUGGCGAAGGCGGCUUUUUUGGUCUGUAACUGACGCUGAGGCGCGAAAGCG